UCAGUGUGUUAUGUGAUAGCGUGGGGGGAAGAUGUGCCGGACUGUGCUGCCUGGCCUGUCUUAGCGUGGUUCGGAGUUUUUCGCGGUUUUUUUUUUUUGUUUAGUGUGUUUUUACCUGUGUUUGCGUGUUUCUCCGUGCUUGCGUGUGUUUACCUGCCUGUGCUUACCUGCUGAGUGUUCCCGGAUAUAAACUGGAGAAUGUGGGCGUGGUGGGCUAGGACGGCGACGGUGGUGGUGGUGGUGGGCGGGGCAGGUGCAGCGCCAGGUAAUCAAGGGCGACAGUUCUUCAGUGGCGCGGGAAACAGUCUAGGUAUUGGCGCCCUCGGGAACACCAACACCAUUGGUUACAACACCCAGGGGCACGCCAACACCAUUAACUACGCCAGCAGGAACGGCAACACUGGAUACGGCACGGGCAGCAUUCAGCACGCUCAGCAAGCAACCAAUGGCCAGACUCUGCAAACUCAGGUGUCUCCGGACUACUACAGCGGAACCAGCCAGCAAUACCUCCCCAACACUGCAGGUUACUACGGCUUCUACCAGCAAGCCUCCCCAGACUAUGCCCACGACACCUACGUACCCGCAUGGCACGGCACAGGCACGGCAGCGGCCCACGGCACUGACUCCUCACCGGCACUCUCUGCCCUGGCGCUGCUCGGCUUCCUCUACUUCCUCAACUUGAUCCAGGGUGUUUUGCAGGACAACAGUGGCAGGAGGCGACGCUCAGUUCCUGCACUUGGUCUCGAAGGAGGCAGGAUGGAAGCACACAAGGAGGAGGAAGAGGGGCACUACAUCACCUCCUAUCUUGAAGAGGAACCAGUGAGGGGAGGUGAUAGGAUGGAUGGGACAGAGGAACAUGAGGAGGAGAAGAUUGACCACAAGGCUGAACCAAGGGCCUUCUCCUUCCUUGAGGACUUCUUCAUCAGACUCCCUCAGGCCCUUGGAAUGCAGAAAAGGCAAAUGAUUGACCGGCUUGGCUUGGACAAGGAGCCUAUGGGGAUUGCAAGCUUCAUCAGUUCCCGGGUCAAGAUGAUUUCCUCCAUUAUGAGCUUCCUUCAAGAUCCAAGCCCCUCUAGGAUCCGACGAGAUGUGCAGGAUACAGACUAUGAAGAAUUAGUGGAAGGAAAGACAUUUUCAGAGCCUUUCCCGAGUCCUUCCCUGGAGUCGUUCGUGGCCCUUAUGACCGAGGUCCUGAAGGAGUACUCACCCUUCAACUUGUGGCCAGUGGGUGAGGGACGUGCCUUCUCCCAAGAAAGUGACAAAAUGGCUGCUGAGGAGGAGAGUGAUGAGAGGAGAAGUGUGAGGGAGCGUCGCCACAGUCCCACCUCCAUGAAUGCCUGGUAUAGUGAGCUGGGCGGCAGGAACAAGGAAGCAGGUGGUGGUGUUGGGAGCAUUGCAGCCAAGGCCAUCUCCUUUCUUGGUGGAGGUGACUUGGCCCAGCAGGCAGCCAAGCAGGAGGCAGGCCCAACACUCCUGGAGCUGUCUCGUGGGUUGGGAGGCUCCAGCCCACACUGCCUCCAGAGGGUGCUGUGUCGCCUCACCUCUCAUGCCAGCCAGCUCUCCCUCUUCCCCCGUGUGGCUCUUCAAAUGCUCAGCUCCAAUCUUGUGGAUGGGAGCAAGGAUGCUGUGAAGGCUGGGCUGAGGGGAGAAAACUGCAGUCAGACCUUUGCCGAGUGUGAUGCAGAGACCAAGUUUGGGAAGACACAGGAGUGAACUAGGGAGUGGAGGAGCUGGAGUGCCUGGGGUGGUGGGUGGCUGGCAUUGGAGGUCUUCAGGGCAAACAAUGCAAGGUGUGUGUGGCUUAUCAAGAGCGUACAGAGUGUGUGCGGCUGAGAACAGUGCUGCCCCCACCUGGCCGGCCCGACACCACCACCGCUGUACUCACUUGGAGCAGUUCGGGUCUUGAAGCUUUUGACGGCCACAGGUCCUACACACACACACACACACACACGCGCGCGCAUACACACACACAGGGCACUUGUUCUACAGCAUUAUCUUCCGAUCUUCACCCAUGAGCAAUUCAAUGUUUUGUUUUUGGAAUUAUAUUGUUUUUUUUUUUCCUUUGAACGUAAAGAUGAGGAAUUUUAAAGUGACUAGCAUUUUAUUUUGAUUUGAUUUAUAUUUUUAAUUCAACUACAACUAAGAUUACAAUAAGACAGGUUAUUUAAUGUAUCGCCAGUACUUUUUUGGCUAGGAGAGUGUCUUAGAAAUGUCAUUAUUUGUGAUUUGUAACUAGAUAUAUGGUAGUAAUUGCACACUUCCUCAUUCAUAAGGAUUUACAUGUAGUGUGUUGCCAAGAACUGGUGCCCUGUGUGUUGACUUCUCCACACACCACUGCAGCAUGUGUGUGUCAUUGCUGGAACACACCAAACAACACAAACUCAGUCACUUACAUGUGUGUGUAUGUAUGUGAGUGUGGAAGACUGCAUAUUUUCAUACAUACAGUCAUAUUGAUACACUGACUACAUAAAUGUGUCUAUAUGUAUGCUACACGUUUGCUGGUAGACGUGCGUUGGUGUAAUAUAUUCACAGGUGUGUAUGAGCACUUGCUUCCUUAUGCCCUGGUUCACGUUGCCAUAAAUCAGAAGUGCCGCUACACCUGCCCACACAUGCAGUACAGGUGUGGCCAGGUGUAGGUUACCUGGCAACUGGAUAGCAAUUAAUGUCUCCCAAUUAGCCCUCCAUUUACACCAACCUUUUUUUAAUGCAUUUUUUGUCUUCACAUCCUCGCGUUCUUACACCAGACAAACUCGGUCACCCCCAAAAAGUCGCAGUUUCAGAAUAUUAACCUGAAUACAAACACGGUGAUAUUUUCAAGACAAUCCAGUGGAGAUGCCAAAAAACUCCUCAGGUAACUCUAGAAACUUGCGAUAGGCAGUUUGACUAUAGAUGGGAUGACAUGUUAAGUUACGAGUGUGGGUAAUGAUGCGCAUUUCUCUUGACUUUGUUUUGCUCGGUGCCCUUGCCUAUACCGCAGGGUGAAGCAUGUCAGGUGGAGUCCAGGGCGAGGCAAACACUGCAAGACUGUAUAGCUUCUUUCCUGCGUGACUCUAUUUUCUUAAACGUUUCAGUCUCCUACAAGAGCUAUUUUCAAAGGCCACAGAUCGCUAGUUAGUUUUCAUUGGGUGCUUUUUCUCAUUGAUGGUGCUGAAUUCUUGUUAAAUUAUCACUAGGAUUAGGAAAUGAAAAUUGAGGGCCUUGGUAACUGUCACUAGAGCCUGAUAGCAAUAGUGAGAAGAGAGACAAGGUUUGAGUGUGUUUGUCUUUUGUAUCGGUGGUGCCAACACAACCAUGAACCCACGUGUGUUUUAGGAGCUGUUUUGUCAAAGUUACCAGGCCUUUGCAGUUUAUUUAUUUUUUUUAUGUGUGUGUGUGUGUGUGUGUGUGUGUGUGUGUGUGUUGCUAGCCCAUGCGAAUACGCCGGCAGUGGGGUGGUGCUUGGUCAUAAUUUGUGUUCUGCUUCGUCACCAUAAUGAACCGUAAUCAGCUGAGGUUUGAAGGUUUGAAUAACGGUGCUUCUGAGGAGAGGAGCUUAUUUCGACUCAUAAUGGCCACGAAGCAGGGGACAACUUAUGGCCGCUACUGUACCUGAGUGAUGCUCUAAUGAAAACAUGUAUUUACAGCAUCACGGCUUUCCUAUGUGUGUGUGUGUGUGUGUGUCGGAAGUAAAAGGUGAAUCCGUAACUCAUGAUUCGAGCUAGACAAACGAAACACUCCAUUUCUUACCUCGUGUGUGUGUGUGUGUGUGUGUGCGUGUGUAUGAAGCAUAAGAUAUUUAAGAACUAUGAGCACCACAGGUCAGUAAUUAAUUGACUGGAAUUAGACUGAAGUAAAUAAAGAAUGGACUGUCGAGUGUGUGUAAAGUACAAGGUAUUUCGAAACUGUAAAUAUCACGGUCAAUAAUUCCAUGACUGAGCGAGACUGUGAUGAAGUUUCUUAGUGUGUGCGUGUGUGUGUGUGUGUGUGUGUGUGUAGAGUCACGCAAAGAUGAAGCAAUACCAGUUCCAGUGUGUUCCUGCUCCCUGCCGCCUCAGCUCUGCCACCCUUGACAAUCACACGCCCUCAGCACGCCCUACACAGUUCUACACAGCGUCGGUAACUACCAGUAGGCAUGUUUGCUGGACAAGCGCUGAACUAGAUAACCUUACUUAGCCCUAGGUAUUGAGUUAUUAUUAAUCUGCCUGUCGGUGGCUCGGGGGUUGUGACGAUGCAACGAGUCACCAGGUUCACUCAUUCGACGCUCUGUGUAGUGAGGCGCUUAUCAACCCUCACCCCUCACGCAUACGCACACGCACGCACACACGCACUCACACACAUGAACUCAGCUUUAUUUUUUUAUUGUUUAUCCUACUCUUUAUUUACGUACGGCCCUACGCACUCCACAAUCAACAACAAUAACAACAACAACAAGCGUCGAAACCAGAAACAGAUGUGUACGUAACUUUUCUUAGUAAUAUAAUGACGUUGCUCGUGAAUAGCAAUGAUUAACGUGAAGUACUCCUUAUCCUUACAUAGUUAGUAGUAGUAGUAGUAGUAGUGACCUCUCGUUCUGUCCGUAUGUCUAGGGGGUCUGUUUGUCUAGCUGUCUGCAGCCGCAAAUGUAUAGUCAAAUACUAAGUGUUGCGGACGAUACAUGCGUGGUGACUCAGGACUGGGGAUAUAAUGCCAUGAAUCAGCCAGCUUCACUAAUUCCUGCCACGUGACUAGAAAGACGAUCCAACGGUAGGAGUAUAAAUAACAGGACAGCGCGCCAGGCCGUUGGUAAAAGCCGCUUCGCCACGCCAUGCACCGUCUCUUCCAAAAAACAAAAAAACAAAAAGAGAAAACGAAAGAAAAAGCCUUUGCGCACAUUGGAGGAAAGAAUUAGCAUUUGUCGUGACUUCCUGGCGUUUGAGGAAGCAUGAGAGUAUUUCAGCGUCAACUCUCGUACAUCAAGACUGAGUAAAGGCCGCGUUUGGUUUAAAAAAUGGUUGUGUUCAUGAUGAAAGGGCGUUUUAUAGCGACCCGCGGCUUGCUUGCAUGCACGCUGCUGUUUGUUGGACGUGGUUGUGGUGGGCACCCGCCGUGGUCGAGGGUCGGAGUGUGGUGGUGGUGGUGGGCUUGUGGAAGGGGCGUGAGGUGAGACUGUGGUGGUUGUCAGGUGGUAGUGGUGGUGGUGGAUGGUCUUCCAAGUGGGGCGCUGGGAUUCAGGUGUCUCAGAUAAUCAAUCAGUCAAUCAAUCAGUGAACACGAAGUCAUGGAAGAAGAAAAAAAAAAAAAAGUCGUCCCUUAAGCUUAGCGUCACUGUAAAAUCUACAAGAACAACCAAAUAAUGAGCGGUAUCUUGUGCAGUGAAAGUACAGACUCGAGCUCUGAGCCUGACGAGGGGACCAGCACACAGGGGUCGGGUAGUGGAAGCUAAGGCGAUGGGGUGUCCUCUACUACGAUGAAACCAAAGCCUCACUGAAGAACGGCGUGCAGGACUCACACUAAGAGAUCUACACGAGGCAGUGCAUUUGUAGGCUGGGGAAGGAUCAGAGGCGCGGGGAAAUGUGGCGGCUCUCUGGGUUUGUCUUUUGAAACGCUAGGACCAUAUUCUGAAACCUGCGUCACCUCUGCUAUUUUCAAAAGGCUCUAGUUGAAGCUACACUGGUUUCUAAGGGUGCUUUUACGAUUCUAGUGACAGAUUAACAAGAUUUCUAUGUUGUUAAAAGGGGAAACACUAUUUAGAACACGGCUAAUCAUCACUGUGGCCUUUGAAAAUACUCGUGGUGAGAGAGCAAAGCGUUUCUGAAUGCGAGUCUAAGCCACACAUAAUUUCAAAGGCCCCAUAGAUCAUUGGCCCUGGUAAAUGUGUCUUCCUUAAUGAUAUCUUGUUAAAAUUAUCACUAGAAUCAUGAAAACACCUUUGAAAAUCGCAACUUCCUCACGACUCCCUCUAGAGCCUAUUCAGAGUGGAGACGAGGCUUCGAAACGUUUAAAACUCGAGAAUCAGGUCCAGAAGUACGCGGAAGAUAGUGCCUAGCUAUCCUUCAAUUGGCUCCAAGUGGCCGAGUUAUCCUGUGACAUACGUACUAGUGAUAUGGAUAAAGUAUCGUGGUUUUGAUUAGUAUGGAGAGUCACGGGUAAUGGGUUAAGUGAGAACGCUUGGUGGAGCAAUGGAUGGUGGAGAAUAACAGGGUGUCUUGGCUCGUCCAUCUAGCUUAGACUGAUAGACGCAAAUAUACUGGAUUGGUUAGUAGUUCUUGGGUAGUGUUUUUUUUUUUUUUGGUUAGCUAAUGGAAGGCUGGAAUAUUUGUGUUAGUGGGAAUGUUAAAUGAUGUAUUAGUUUAGUUUUAGUUUCCAAUCGUUAUUUUUUUUUCUUUUGUUUUGUAUUGUCUGGUUUCUUUUUAUCCUCUGUUAUCAAUAAUCCUCUCUUCCAGUCGAGGUUUUCUUCAUUACCAAUUGCGUUUCCUUCAUUAUCAAUUAAUAUUUUCUUUAUUUCCCAAGCAACGUUUUCUGUACUCCGAAUCAACGUUUUCUUUAUCCACAAUCAACGUUUUCUGUAUCUCCAAGCAGUAUUUUUCUUGACUUUCAAUUAGCGUUUGCAUCACUACCAUUCAAGUUAGACUAGUAUAAGAAAAUAGGUGGUUAGGUUAAGUCAGGAUUAGGUAACGUAACCUAAAGCAACCGAACCUGACAUGACCGAACCCAACCUGAAGCACUAGUUGAUCGAAAUAAAAAGAAAACUUGAUUGGAAACGUGCGAUCAGAUGAAUGAAAAAAAAAAAAAAAACGAAAGACGAGUGUCGAUUCAAAACAUGCGAGUUACACCUGAAAACUGAAAUCAGAAAACGGGAACCCGGACUCUUCAUUUGACACAUAAACCUGAGCAUAGGACACGUGGCCUGAGAGACGGGACAUGGCGACACAAGGACGAGGAAAUAGUAUCGAGAGCAAUGUGGUCGUGUUAAUCUUUAGACGAAUUACCCCUCCAAUUUGACGUUUAGUUUAGUCCUACGCUCCAUUUUCUAUUCGGAUUAUAGGGGAGACUUAAGCUCAUUAGGUAUGCAUUAAAAUUCAAGGUUUAUUCAAAGUAAAUUAUGUCCAGAUAGAUUGAGAGAAAAUGAGGACUGUGUGUGUGUGUGUGUGUGUGUGUGUGUGUGUACUCCACUUUCUUGAACGACUUGAAAGAAAAGUUAAUUAUUUUACGUCAUAAUUUUCGCAGUAGUAGUAGUAGUAGUAGUAGUAGUAGUAGUUGUAGUAGUAGUAGUAGUAGUAGUCAAGCAAGUGGAGUGUGGAUUUUUAAGUACUUCUCUCCUUUUCUCUCUCCCUUAUUUCUCUCUGUUCGCUCCACUGAAUCUUCUCUCCCUUUUCCUCCCCUUCCCCAUCCCUUCUCCUUCCCACCCCUCCCACUACAAGCCACUUCUCCAUAAAAAAAAAAAAGAAAAAAAAAUUGCUAGCGAAGAACAUCACUCAUUCACCCUUAUCGUUUUUUAUGUACAUAGCAGUGAGGGAAAAACCUGAAUACAAAAAACUCAUACAAAUAUACAGUGAUAUGAUAGUACUGAACGGUUUCCAUGCUGGGGACUGGAAGGGCUGGAAGGGGCUUAGGACACGGCUAGGAGCUAUGGGUCUGGCUAAGGUCUGCUGGAAGGGUGCUGGAAAAGAAGUAGAAUUGAUUGCAUAUGAGUUUGUGGUUUGACUUGAAGUGAUAAACGUCUGCUGGAAGGAUACUGGAAGGUAUAAAAGGGACUGGAUUCGAGUUUGUGGUGUCUGGAAGCGGCCAAGCUCAGGAGAGGAGCUAUGGAGACUUGUAAGGGUGUUUGAGCAGGGCAGAAGGGAAUAGAUUUGGGCUUGUGGUAUACUGGAAGGGGCCAAGGUCUGGAAAGGGGCUGUGGGAACAGGAAGGGUGCUGAAAGAGGUAGUUUAGGAGUUGCAGAGACCUGCUGGAUGUGACAUGGGUGAAGUUGUAGGUGAAAAUGGUCUGGAAGGGGGAUGAGGGACUGGAAGGAGAUUCGAGGUCUGGAGGAAGAGAAAUAGGAGUGUCUUUAACCAGCAAAUGACUCCCAGCUACAGAAUACUGCUAUUACUGCCAUCACCAUCACUCCAUCACCAUUACUCGUGUGUGUGUGUGUGUGUGUGUGUGUGUGUGUGACAUAUAAACCAUCUUACAUUACAAAAAAUAGAAAACUCAUCGAAUAUAGUUAUAAAUUUUGUGUUGAACUAAUGAAAGAGAAAAAAAAAAACAGUUGUGUUACCAAUUAUAAAGCCAUUUUUUAUAUACAACCAUAAAAAAAGAAAACAAACUGAAUAUUUGAAAUUUGACAAAAACUGUUAAUGAAUUCGUGAAAUACCAAACUCAAAGCUAAACAUUUUUAUCCUUUCAAAUUUAGGUAGCUUUGUGAAGAGUCUUUCAUAAUACAUAGAGGUAAUGGUAACAGAGGUAGUAGUAGUAGUAGUAGUAGUAGUAGUAGUAAUAGUAGUAGUAAUAACUCGCAUCGCUCCUAGUUAUGAUGUACCGAACACUCGCGCGCACACACGCAAUAUGCUUACAGAACACUCACACCCCACACACACACACACGCACACACACACACACACAUCGAACAAGAAUGAUUGUAACAAGUUCUAUAAACAACAGAGUAGCAACAACAAGUCAUGGGCACUCAUGUGAGAAGGAGAAGCCAUACUACUGUAUCUCUUGCUCCUUGGCUGGUGGUCUUAAACGCUUCGCUCUCUCAAUACAAGACAGCCUAUUUUUUACACUUCGCUCGCUCAUCUCGACUGCUUUCAAAGGCGACAGAGAUGACUUUUCCUGGUUUUCAUGGGUAUUUUUUUUUCACUGAUGAUGCAGAAUCCUUUAAACUUUCCCUUGAAUGAAAACACCCUUGAAAAUCCGAAUAACUUCCACUACAGCCUUUAACAACAAGUCGUGAUUAGACGAGGAGCGCCUUCGAAGGUUACAAAGAUGACUAGCCGGGUUUUUAUAGAUGCUUUACAUAUAGUUGAUGCAAAAAUCCUUAUUAAACUACCACCGGAAUUAUGAAAACACCCUGGAAACCGUGAAAUGAUCUCCACUAGAGCCUGUUCACGUGAUAAACAGGACGAGGAAGCGUUUAAGAACACAAUCCAACUCUGAACUUCUCAAACUUGAUAAAACACAAUAAAAAAAAAACAAUGCAUAUCAAAACAGGAAUAAUCAAUGUUGCAUCAAUUCUAUUCCUUUUUUUAAUGAUUCCGUGAGAUAAAAGUACAGCAUAGGCGGUAAUACUUUUGAAUUAAUGAUAAAAAGAAUAACUGGUUACAGAAUACUACUCGGGGGACUGACUAGCGGUCCCCUCGGCGGUGACCCAAGCACCUUGCGUCAUGUUAAGAGGCAGGUGUGGUUCGAGUUAAAUGAUGCUUCAAAGAGUGCUUUAAAUGCUUCAUCUCCUUAUCUCAUGAAGUGUCGGUGCUUUGUUUGGGAAAGAAAAGAAAAAAAAAGGAAUAUUUGUCUUUCCUCUCUUCCCGCGGGUUGAGGAAACUUAAAUUUUUCAUGAUUAUUAUUAUUAUUAUUAUUAUUAUUAUUAUUAUUAUUAUUAUUAUUAUUAUUAUUUAUACAUAACGCUGCGAAUAUUUUUUUUGUAUUCAAUUGAGCUUAAAAUUAGCGCUUUUAUUUUUAUUUAUUUUUCAUUAAAUCAUAUCACAUUAUUAUUAUUAAAUUCCCCUUUUUUUCACUCUUCAUUUUCCUCUGCACACGCACACACACACUUCACUUCUUUUCUCAAGUUUUCAUUAUCUCCUUACAUACGUUUUCUUCACUGUCUUUAUUUCCUUAACAUUUUUUUUUUUGAUCAAUUUUGCUGCGUAACAUGACCAUCAGUUUAUAUAUAUAUUUUGUGUUUGUGCAGAUCCGUGUAGUAGUAGUAUUUUUUUUUCACGAAACGACAGAUAAAACUAUAUAUAUAUGUUAUACUUGUUCAAAAGGCGGUAACUGUGCUUAUCAACAAAGAGGGAAGAGUAUGCAAAACUAUAGCCAUUACUUUGUUUUGUAGUUCCCAACACUCGCAUCUUUCCUUCUCUCUCAGUCUGUCUUUCUGUCGUUCCGUUUCCCUCUUUUUCUCUGUCACGCUUCCCAGGGCUGACAAUCUCACGGUCAGUCCUGGAUGUUUAGUUUGUCAGGUACAGAAAGGUUCUCACUCCAGACUAUCGGAUGACUCACUCACUCACCUUCAUCCUCUCCGUCGCAGUUGAAACAGGAGAGGAAGGAAGCAAUAUAUAGUGUAAGGGUUGGGUCUCACUUAACAUCAUAUCAUCAUCAUCUUCAUCAUCACAAAUCACCAACAACAACGUCACUAUCAUUAUAUACAUACACACACACAUAUAUAUAUAAAUUUCACCAUCUUAUGUGAUAGAAUGAGCUUUUGUGGAACGCUUUCUUUGUUCCUGUUUCUUAUAUUCUUCCUGGUGCAGUACAGCAGAGUUUCGCAGACACGGAAUGCAAGACACUGGCUGGCUGGCUGGCUGGCUUGCUGGCUGGCUGGCUGGCUGGGUGGUUGGCUGGCUGGCUGGCUUGCUGGCUGGCUGGCUGGCUGGCUGGCUUUCUUGCGGAAUGGCUUGUAUAGGCGCACAAAGCUUGUUAAAUUCUAGGGGGUUUUAUUUUUCAGUCUUUUUUUUUAUUUUAUCACGUUGGCGUCGCAGCUACAGAAACUAUUAGUAUUAGAAUUAACUUUACACUAGAGAGCUACCGUGACCUUCGGCGUCGGCAUUGCGUCACUGUCUCUUGCAAAUGUCCAUGAAAAAACCUUUGAUUUAGUAGCGAAUAACCGGAACCAUUACAACAGCUCAGUAUAUGGUUCGUUUUUGUGUGAGUCAAGAAUCUCCAGCUUUAUACUACCAGUCAAAUAAGAGUGUAAUUAAGGUAAAAAGGAAUCAGAUACCACUAUUUUGCAUCUUGGUGAGUUACAAUCGCUUAGAAUCGCAUCGAGACAAGACUACGGAAUGAGGGAAUAGGAUUAAUAUUAUUCAUCUUCUCUAUAAGGGAUUGGCAAUGGUGCAGAUUAAAAGGAUUCAUUCAUUUUGACCUGUAUUUUGAAACUGACGCCGAGGACCGGAACGGGUACUGACGGCCAGACACUUGGGGCGCUGCUUGGGCCGCCAUUAACCCCGCCGACCUUCCUUGACCUAACCUCACCUAAACCUUUCUUCUAAUUUACGAGAUCUCAUGGGAUCCUCAUUUUUUUUGUUUUUUUUGAGGGUUUUAUUGUGUUCAGUGCAUUUUUAGGGACAGACAGACGAAAUUGUGUGUGUGUGUGUGUGUGUGUGUGUGUGUGUGUGUGUGUGUUACUACCUCCUCCAACCUUACAGCUGUUUAGUUAUUGCUUUAAGAGUUAAUGUUUCUCUCUCUCUCUCUCUCUCUCUCUCUCUCUCUCUCUCUCUGCUACACUAGGCAUUAAGAGAGAGAGAGAGAGAGAGAGAGAGAGAGAGAGAGAGAGAGAGAGAGAGAGAGAGAGACUGCCCUACGAGUAUAAGAAAGUGUAUAAUUGUGUUUAGUGAGAGUUACAACGUCUUGCUGUCUUCCCUCUCCCUUCAACUCUCCCUCUUACUCCUCCUCUUCCUCUUCCUCUUCCUCUUCCUCCUGUCCGCCCAGAUAAACUGAAUUUGUCCUUCCAAACCAUUCUCUUCAUAAAUUCUUCAGGAACAUUUUUGUACACUUCUCUUUUUACCUCUUUUCCUUCGUUCUAAGAGUUGGACACACUCAGAACAGCUAAAGAAACGGUUUUUCCUUUUUUUUUUCCUCCAUUUUUAUUUGUUCGAGGAGAAAGAGAUGUUAUUAUUUCCUCUUUUCUCUUUUUUCUUGGACCUAGACACUGAGCAGCUGAAGAGUUUUUUUUUCCUUUUUUUCCGUCUUUUCUUUCGUUCUGUAAGCUGAAGAGAAUGUUAUUUUCCUCUUUUUCUAUUUUCCUUCGAAUUAGGAGCUGAAGUGAAGGUAUUUUCCUCUUUUUAUCCCUUUUCCUUUCGUUCUACAAGCUGGAUACACACUGAAGAGCUGAAGAGAAAGUUAUUUUUCCUUCUUUUUCCCCUUUUCCUUCGCUGAAGAGAUGGAGUUUUCUUUCUUUUUUUCCCUUUCCUUUUCGUUCUUUGAGGUGGACGCUUUGAGGAGCCGCGGGGAAGGUCAGUUUCCUCCUCCUGCCGUCAUUAUCCUUGCC